AACAUGCCACCAAGAAAACGUUUAAAUACUUAAAACAUUUGAUUCUUUGAUCAAAAUAACAAUGUAAUAAUUUGUAAAUAAAUUGAAUUCAUGUUUCACACGAAGGCCCGUUCACGUUUUGUGUCAAAUCGGAUCCCGUUUGCUACAGUUUUCGCGCACUACACGAGGUGACUUGGCAGCACAAAGCAUUGGGAAAUGCAUGGAUUCAGAUGUAGUAUCUGUGAGAAAGUACUGAAAUGUAAAGGUGGAUAUACUGUUCAUCAGCAGAUGACUUGAAGUCAAAAGAAACGGAGACCAUUCAGUCAUUUCUACAGAUUUCCAAGCACGAAUGCUGUUAUGUUCAGCUGAGAACAAAAUGAUGAACAAGCAGAAAAUACAGCAGCAAAGAACAAGGAAGAGAUGGCACACAUUUUAAGAAUGAAAUUAACUUAAUAAAUAUUCAGAUCAUUUCUGAGGGAUGUUACAUUUGGGAAUUCACUUUCCCAGUAUAGUACAGAUACUAGUACUUUGCUGGUAGAGGGUGGAGUGAAUCCCUUUGUGUGAUUUGAACCCACCCUUUAAGAGUGAAACACCUUAUCACAGAACAACAUUGUCAGCAAUUUAACCUGACAAAUGUUAGUCAAGGUCUCGAUCAGAGAAGUGUAAAUGCCACAAUUACAAUUUUUGCAAAGUUAUGCAAAUAAGAAUGUCAAAACUAUUUGGUUUAAUAAAUAGUAAUUAUUAAA
rnacentral:lncRNA from 1 species